AGAAAGUUCGAAGAUGGAGGAACAGUUGAAAAUGGGAGUUACCGAAGUUGAAGAAGACGAUGAACACGAUUCUAAAGAGAGUGUUCUACAGAGAUAUUUUUUACAGGAAUGGAAGCUUGUUAAGUCACUCCUCGACGAUAUCAUUUCCAAUGGCCGUGUCUCUGAUAUCUCCUCUGUUCAUAAGAUCCGAUCUAUUAUGGACAAAUAUCAGGAGCAAGGUCAAUUACUGGAGCCUUACCUCGAGAGUAUGGUUUCACCCCUAAUGUCCAUUGUCCGUUCAAAAGCUGUCGAACGAGUUGCUGCCUCGGAAGAGAUUCUUGAAGUAAUU
rnacentral:misc_RNA from 1 species